GGAUGUUAACACGCAGCCUGAACGGAGACGGGGGCAACCCUGGUGGCGAUGUGGCGAACGGGUGAGUAAUGUAUCGGAACGUGCCCAGUCGUGGGGGAUAACUAUCCGAAAGGAUAGCUAAUACCGCAUACGUCCUGAGGGAGAAAGCGGGGGAUCGCAAGACCUCGCGCGAUUGGAGCGGCCGAUAUCGGAUUAGCUAGUUGGUGGGGUAAAGGCUCACCAAGGCGACGAUCCGUAGCGGGUCUGAGAGGACGACCCGCCACGCUGGAACUGAGACACGGUCCAGACUCCUACGGGAGGCAGCAGUGGGGAAUUUUGGACAAUGGGCGUAAGCCUGAUCCAGCCAUUCCGCGUGAGUGAAGAAGGCCUUCGGGUUGUAAAGCUCUUUCAGCGGGAACGAAACGGUCGAUCCUAAUACGGUCGGCUAAUGACGGUACCUGCAGAAGAAGCACCGGCUAACUACGUGCCAAGCAGCCGCGGUAAUACGUAGGGUGCGAGCGUUAAUCGGAAUUACUGGGCGUAAAGCGUGCGCAGGCGGUGACAUAAGACAGAUGUGAAAUCCCCCGGGCUCAACCUGGGAACUGCGUUUGUGACUGUGUCGCUCGAGUGUAGCAGAGGGGGGUGGAAUUCCACGUGUAGCAGUGAAAUGCGUAGAGAUGUGGAGGAACACCGAUGGCGAAGGCAGCCCCCUGGGUUAACACUGACGCUCAUGCACGAAAGCGUGGGGAGCAAACAGGAUUAGAUAGCCUGGUAGUCCACGCCCUAAACGAUGCCAACUAGGUGUUGGGGAAGGAGACUUCCUUAGUGCCGUAGCUAACGCGUGAAGUUGGCCGCCUGGGGAGUACGGUCGCAAGAUUAAACUCAAAGGAAUUGACGGGGACCCGCACAGCGGUGGAUGAUGGGAUAAUCGAUGCACGCGAAAACUACGUACCUGACAGUCCGAUCCGAGAGAUUGGAGCUAACAGGCGACCAGCAGCUUACUGUGCUUUUAUUAUUCCUUUUUUCGUUUGUUUUUUUUUUUUUUGUGG
rnacentral:rRNA from 1 species